rnacentral:sRNA from 1 species
UAGUAGAGACGGGGUUUCACCAUGUUAGCCAGGCUGGUCUCAUACUCCUGACCUUGGGUGAUCCACCUGCUACCUCCCAAUGUGCUGGGAUUACAGGCGUGAGCCCUGGCACCCAGCCUGAUCACUGAGUGGCUUGGGGGAGCGAUUGAUUGGCAGUACAGGGUCUCUCUGCACACGUCGAGUUGGCCGCAUUGGCGAGGUGAUUUGGCUAGCUUGUUUACUCAGGGCUGGUCACAGAUUCAGUCCUCGGCUGGGCCCUUUGCCCUUGGCUGCAGUCACCACCAAAGGUAGGGCAGCCUGUGACCAAAUGCAAGGGACUGGGUGGGCCAACAUCAACCCAGACUCCAGUGGACAGUCAUAAGCUGCUACUUCAUACGUGAACACCAGAACGUAUCUCAUCAUUAGUGAAAGUCUAUCACUCAGCUGGAAUGUACCUGGAGUGGGUUGAUAAGAAGAAAGCAUGUCUCAUGAGAGAGACAAAGGACCCUGAGGCUAAAGCACUGAAAUGUUACAUGGAUGUCAGUGCAGGUCAGAUGGACCCUAUGGAUCAGGAGACUCAUGAAGGUUGGCUGUCAGAUUCGCAGGGGGUUAUGAUAACUGGGUAGGAAUCAUCUGAUUCAGUGAAGUUGAAGCUGUUUAGUGAGAUAAGAAUGAUUAUGAAUAAAGUCUAUGUGUUGAGACCAAAUCAAAAGAAUCAGAAUUUAGAAGGAUGCUCUGGGCCAAGAUGACGAUGGGAGAUCUGGCCCAUAAUGCCUCACUGAUAGGUUUUGUUUAUUUCCCCAUGAACUCACUGUAAAGCAGUAAAAUGCUGGGAUUGUUCCGCUAACUUACAGCCAACAAAAAAUUCAUCCUCAUGGAGAGCCCUUGUUCUUUGGGGGUGGUGCUGGUUCCUGCCACUGCCCUGCAAGGGUCUCUAAUGGGAGGUCAUCAGGGUUUAGGGCCAAUCAGUAUAAAUUCCUCUGAAGCCAUUUUGAAGGCAGAUUUGAGACCACAAGAGACUUUUUGUCCUUUCCUGCAGUAGCAUUCUUGAUACCUGGUUUUAUAGCAUACAUAAUAACUAGGGCCAUUACCUCUUUUUUUUCUUUUUUUGAGACGGAGUUUUGCUUUUGUUGCCCAGGCUGGAGUGCAAUGGCAUGAUCUCGGCUCCCCCUACCCUCCACCUCAUGGGUUCAACCAAUUCUCCUGCCUCAGCCUCCUGAGUAGCUGGGAUUACAGGCAUGCACCACCAUGCCCGGCUAAUUUUGUAUUUUUAGUAGAGACAGGGUUUCUCUAUGUUGGUCAGGCUCAUCUCAAACUUCCGACCUCAGGUGAUCCGCCCGCCUCAGCCUUCCAGCGGGCGUGAGCCACUGCACCUGGCCAACCUGUUUUCUAAACUAUCUUUGGCCUCCUUUACUAAAAUAAGUUUUUCUUUGAAAAAUAAUCGACCUAUUUUUGAUCUGCUUAUCAUCUACUGAGUGACCAUACACACUCGACUGCCAUGAGUAUAAACAUGCAUGUUGCUUUUGUGCUUGGAGGAAUUUGGCGCUGGACACUCAUGUCUUUGUCAAGGCAGAGGAUAGGAAUAAUUAACAGCAGCAUGAAGGAGUCAAGGAGGGACCUUAUACUAAUGUGUUCAGCAUGGUGCUCAUUCUGAGAGAAUACUGAGUCAUUGUGAAAACUUUUGAAAUGCAAUAUUUUCCCUUUAAAAUUAAAGCCAUCUAGACCUGUAAAUUAAGGGCCACUCCUAGCAAAAUUGCUGAUUGCGUGUUGAACCAUGGCGUGAACUCAGCUCAUUGGACCUGUCUGUGUGAACUGACGGCUAAGGAGCACCUUCGACCGUGAGUUCUUCCACAGGAGCUUAUUUUGUCAGCAAGUGCGUUAUCUCCUUGCCUUUCACCCCACAGGCACUGCCCAGACUCCAGACGUACCUUUACCAAACGUUUGAUGCUGGAGAAGCACGUUCAGCUGAUGCAUGGCAUCAAGGACCCUGACCUGAAAGAAAUGACAGAUGCCACCAAUGAGGAGGAAACAGAAAUAAAAGAAGACACCAAGGUCCCCAGUCCCAAACGGAAGUUGGAAGAACCAGUUCUGGAGUUCAGGCCUCCCCGAGGAGCAAUCACUCAACCACUGAAAAAGCUGAAAAUCAAUGUUUUUAAGGUUCACAAGUGUGCCGUGUGUGGCUUCACCACCGAAAACCUGCUGCAGUUCCACGAACACAUCCCUCAGCACAAAUCGGAUGGUUCUUCCUACCAGUGCCGGGAGUGUGGCCUCUGCUACACGUCUCACGUCUCUCUGUCCAGGCAUCUCUUCAUCGUACACAAGUUAAAGGAACCUCAGCCAGUGUCCAAGCAAAAUGGGGCUGGGGAAGAUAACCAACAGGAGAACAAACCCAGCCAUGAGGAUGAAUCCCCUGAUGGCGCCGUGUCAGACAGAAAGUGCAAAGUGUGCGCAAAAACUUUUGAAACUGAAGCUGCCUUAAAUACUCACAUGCGGACACACGGCAUGGCCUUCAUCAAAUCCAAAAGGAUGAGCUCAGCCGAGAAAUAGCCACAGAUGCUCCAUGAGGAAAAUCCCUGUCCACAUUGGAAUAAAAAAGACAUUUUUGUUACAAAAAGUUUGCAGUAUAAUAGAGUUAACAGUACUGUCUAGGCUGUUGCAAUAUAUUCUCUUUCAACGUACCUUCCUUCACCUCGUCGUAUAUAUCCUCGAUAAGUAUUAAAACAGUAUUUGAGUUUAAAAGAGUUUGUAUAUAUUUAAAUGAAUAACUUUUUAUACUCUUUGUUACAUGUUUGUAUCAGUAUUUAGUGGAAAACCAUUUGAGUUGUUUUGGGUUAGAAUUUUUCUUUUUGUACUGUUUCUUUAAAACAGAGUUCUUAGUAACAACAGGGGCAGUUCCUGAAUUCAAAUAAACCAUUUUGUAUGUUUGGAUUUUGAAUGGGUUAACUAAUUACAGGCUAAAAUAAUGCCUUUUUUAGUGUUUUUAAUUUUUAGAAUUCACUACAUAAAUUGUAAGUAAUUGUGGGUCUCAAAAACACUAGGAACUUUUAAGUGUCUUAGCACUUCCUCGAUGUGCCUGCCCUGAGGGAGUGAGUUCACAUUUGAGACAACUGCACUCCAGUGUGGGCGUGCCUUUGUCUUCAGGCCACGCUGAAGGGUGUUUAAAGCAGUCUUGCAGGUUGCUCCUUUUGCAGCCGUGGAUAAAAACUGAAGCCAGGAAUCUAAUAAGGAAUGCUGAUUUCCUCAGUUCCAUUUUGAGGAAUGGGGAAGGCUAUUCUAAAGAAAAAAAUGGGACUUGUUUUCUCGGCAGAUCUGCAAGGCUGGCUUUAAGAGCACAAGGAGGGAAAGUAACGAAAGGGCUGGACUACUAUAAAAGUUACAAAUACGUAGUUAGACCAAUAGAUUUAUAUAGUCAGGUUUUUGUCAUGUAAUUUAUUAACUAUUACAGAAACACAACUAAGAAUAUCAAGUAUUUCUCUGGCUCUUGACAGAAAAAAAAAAAUCAGUUGACUUAACCCUUUGCUGUCAAAAGAGUUGGCGUUUCCUGUUCUGGGUGCUACUGCCAAACGUUCUGGUACUUAGAGUCGGGAUGCACAACUUCAACCACCGACUUAUCAAUGCAGCCGCCUGUGUAUUGCAAUUGGCCGUUACCUUAAGCACUGAGCCACCUGGGUUUAGUUCAGCCAUUUCAAGAAGUAUAUUUAACGUCGGUAGUUCUGCUUUAUUAAAAUGCAGCAGAGGUACUCUUCUGUCCCUUCCGUUUAUAGUUCUCUGAGAGAGUUCUAUUUUUUGGUUUUGUUUUGUGUUUUCUUUUGCAUUUUAUAUCUUGUAUUUAUCCCCUGAACAUGUUUUGUACUUUUUUUUUUUUUAAGAAAAGGAAUUCUUUUGUGUAUAUAUAGAUACUUGCAUGAUAUACUGUAGUCAACGUUCGGUUCCUCAAAAGGUCUUGCUGCUGUCAGGUGUUAUGCACUCCAUCCAUCAUAACUGUAUGAAACACAUUUCAUAUGUAAAUAAACGUGGGACAUUUG